rnacentral:rRNA from 1 species
AUUGAACGCUGGCGGCAUGCCUUACACAUGCAAGUCGAACGGCAGCACGGGUGCUUGCACCUGGUGGCGAGUGGCGAACGGUGAGUAAUACAUCGGAACGUACCUUAUCGUGGGGGAUAACGCAGCGAAAGCUGUGCUAAUACCGCAUACGCCCUGAGGGGGAAAGCGGGGGAUCGCAAGACCUCGCGCGAUUAGAGCGGCCGAUGCCUGAUUAGCUUGUUGGUGGGGUAAAAGCCCACCAAGGCGACGAUCAGUAGCUGGUCUGAGAGGACGAUCAGCCACACUGGGACUGAGACACGGCCCAGACUCCUACGGGAGGCAGCAGUGGGGAAUUUUGGACAAUGGGGGCAACCCUGAUCCAGCAAUGCCGCGUGAGUGAAGAAGGCCUUCGGGUUGUAAAGCCCUUUUGUCAGGGAAGAAACACCGGCUCUAACACAGUCCGGGAAUGACGGUACCUGAAGAAUAAGCACCGGCUAACUACGUGCCAGCCGCCGCGGUAA